rnacentral:rRNA from 1 species
GACGAACGCUGGCGGCGUGCUUAACACAUGCAAGUCGAACGAAGAGCGAUGGUAGCUUGCUUCUAUCAAUCUCAGUGGCGAACGGGUGAGUAACGCGUAAUCAACCUGCUCUUCAGAGGGGGACCACAGUUGGAAACGAUUGCUCAUACCGCAUACGAUCUAAUCUCGGCAUCGAGGAAAGAUGAAAGGUGGCCUCUAUCUAUAGGCUAUCACUGAAGGUGGGGAUUGCGUCUGAUUCGCUAGUUGGAGGGGUAACGGCCCACCAAGGCGAUGAUCAGCAGCCGGUCUGAGAGGAUGAACGGCCACAUUGGGACUGAGACACGGCCCAGACUCCUACGGGAGGCAGCAGGGGGGAAUCUUCCGCAAUGGACGAAAGUCUGACGGAGCAACGCCGCGGGAGGGAUGACGGCCUUCGGGUUGGAAAGCUCUGUUAAUCGGGACGAAAGGCCUUCUUGCGAACAGUUAGAAGGAUUGACGGUACCGGAAGAGAAAGCCACGGCUAACUACGUG